rnacentral:rRNA from 1 species
UACGUAGGGUGCGAGCGUUAAUCGGAAUUACUGGGCGUAAAGCGUGCGUAGGCGGUUUUGUAAGCCAGAUGUGAAAUCCCCGGGCUUAACCUGGGAAUGGCAUUUGGGACUGCAAGGCUCGAGUGCGGCAGAGGAGACUGGAAUUCCUGGUGUAGCAGUGAAAUGCGUAGAUAUCAGGAGGAACACCGAUGGCGAAGGCAGGUCUCUGGGCUGACACUGACGCUCAUGCACGAAAGCGUGGGGAGCAAACAGG